rnacentral:rRNA from 1 species
CAGCCGCGGGUAAUUCCAGCUCCAAUAGCGUAUAUUAAAGUUGUUGCAGUUAAAAAGCUCGUAGUUGAAUUUCGGGAUUCUUCCGUUGGUCAGGCUAACAAGUCUGUAAUAGCGUGUAGAAUCUCUACCUUCUGGGGAACCAUCAUGUUAUUAAUUUAGCGUGGUGGGAAACCAGGACCUUUACCUUGAAAAAAUUAGAGUGUUCAAAGCAGGCUUACGUCUGAAUACAUUAGCAUGGAAUAAUAAAAUAGGACGGUGGUCCUGUUUUGUUGGUUUCUGAAUCACCGUAAUGAUUAAUAGGGAUAGUUGGGGGCAUUAGUAUUAAAUUGUCAGAGGUGAAAUUCUUGGAUUUAUUGAAGACUAACUUCUGCGAAAGCAUUUGCCAAGGAUGUUUUCAUUAAUCAAGAACGAAAGUUAGGGGAUCGAAGACGAUCAGAUACCGUCGUAGUCUUAACCAUAAACUAUGCCGACUAGGGAUCGGACGAUGUUAAAUUUUAUUGACUCGUUCGGCGCCUUACG